rnacentral:rRNA from 1 species
UGAACGCUGGCGGCAUGGGCUAAAACAUGCAAGUCGAACGCGAAAUCGGCUUCGGCCGAGAGUAGAGUGGCGAACGGGCGAGUAAUACCUUCCUAACGUGCCUCAAGUGUCAGGGAUAGCUCGGGGAAACCUGUGGUAAUACCUGAUAUUCCCGCGUGAUCGCAUGGUCGUGCGGGCAAAGGCUUGUCUGCCUUGAGAUCGGGGAAGGCGCUAUCAGCUUGUUGGUGGGGUAACGGCCUACCAAGGCGGAGACGGCUAGCGGGUGUGAGAGCAUGACCCGCCGCAUCGGGACUGAGACACUGCCCGGACUCCUACGGGAGGCUGCAGUAACGAAUCUUCCGCAAUGGGCGCAAGCCUGACGGAGCAAUGCCGCGUGCAGGAUGAAGCCCCUCGGGGUGUAAACUGCUGUCAGGGGCUACCAAGUUCUGAGGAGCCCCAGAGGAAGGGCCGGCUAACUUCGUGCCAGCAGCCGCGGUAAUACGAAGGGCCCGAGCGUUAAGCGGAAUCACUGGGCUUAAAGGGUGCGUAGGCGGACACGUCAGUGCUUUGUGAAAUCCCACAGCUCAACUGUGGACGUGCUUGGCAUACUGCGUGUCUUGAGGUCGGUAGAGGUUGCCGGAACUGUAGGUGUAGCGGUGAAAUGCGUAGAUAUCUACAGGAACACCCAUGGCGAAGGCAGGCAACUGGACCGAUUCUGACGCUGAGGCACGAAAGCGUGGGGAGCAAACAGGAUUAGAUACCCUGGUAGUCCACGCUGUAAACGAUGUGCACUAGGUCUCGGGAGUUUUGACGCUCUCGGAACCGAAAAGAAAUCGAUAAGUGCACCGCCUGGGGAGUACGGUCGCAAGGCUAAAACUCAAAGGAAUUGACGGGGGCUCACACAAGCGGUGGAGCAUGUGGCUUAAUUCGAAGCAACGCGAAGAACCUUAUCCUGGAUUUGACAUGUACGAAUUAAAGCCCCUGUGAAAGCAGGGU